GGAAAGCUCCGGCGGUGCAGGAUGAGCCCGCGGCCUAUCAGCUUGUUGGUGAGGUAAUGGCUCACCAAGGCGACGACGGGUAGCCGGCCUGAGAGGGCGACCGGCCACACUGGGACUGAGACACGGCCCAGACUCCUACGGGAGGCAGCAGUGGGGAAUAUUGCACAAUGGGCGAAAGCCUGAUGCAGCGACGCCGCGUGAGGGAUGACGGCCUUCGGGUUGUAAACCUCUUUCAGCAGGGAAGAAGCGUGAGUGACGGUACCUGCAGAAGAAGCGCCGGCUAACUACGUGCCAGCAGCCGCGGUAAUACGUAGGGCGCGAGCGUUGUCCGGAAUUAUUGGGCGUAAAGAGCUCGUAGGCGGCUUGUCACGUCGGGUGUGAAAGACCGGGGCUUAACUCCGGUUCUGCAUUCGAUACGGGCUAGCUAGAGUUCGGUAGGGGAGAUCGGAAUUCCUGGUGUAGCGGUGAAAUGCGCAGAUAUCAGGAGGAACACCGGUGGCGAAGGCGGAUCUCUGGGCCGAUACUGACGCUGAGGAGCGAAAGCGUGGGGAGCGAACAGGAUUAGAUACCCUGGUAGUCCACGCCGUAAACGGUGGGCACUAGGUGUGGGCAACAUUCCACGUUGUCCGUGCCGCAGCUAACGCAUUAAG
rnacentral:rRNA from 1 species